rnacentral:rRNA from 1 species
CCUACGGGAGGCUGCAGUGGGGAAUAUUGGACAAUGGGGGCAACCCUGAUCCAGCCAUGCCGCGUGUGUGAAGAAGGCCCUCGGGUUGUAAAGCACUUUCAGUGAGGAAGAACGCCUGGUGGUUAAUACCCAUCAGGAAAGACAUCACUCACAGAAGAAGCACCGGCUAACUCCGUGCCAGCAGCCGCGGUAAUACGGAGGGUGCGAGCGUUAAUCGGAAUUACUGGGCGUAAAGCGCGCGUAGGUGGCUUGAUAAGCCGGUUGUGAAAGCCCCGGGCUCAACCUGGGAACGGCAUCCGGAACUGUCAAGCUAGAGUGCAGGAGAGGAAGGUAGAAUUACCGGUGUAGAGGUGAAAUGCGUAGAGAUCGGGAGGAAUACCAGUGGCGAAGGCGGCCUUCUGGACUGACACUGACACUGAGGUGCGAAAGCGUGGGUAGCAAACAGGAUUAGAUACCCCUGUAGUC